CUCCCGCUCCCCCGGGACCCUACCCAGGCCGGGGCCAGCCCCAAGGGCAGCCUGGUCUGCAGCCGCGCGUACCCGGUCACCCUCGGGGGUCCCAGAGCCCCCAAAUUCCUCAAGUCUAGGAAGGGUAUGCCCAGUUAGCAGCCGGAGAAACCGAGGCUCCCGGGGGUUCGGCGCGCUGCGGGGGGCAGGGCCGCCAGCCGAGCCCGGGACGUGGUGUAGCCGGAGACUCGCCGGGGCCUGAACUUGGUGUGAACUUCGCAUCGGGCCUCUGAGUUGUCCUUUCGGAAGUUCCGCUCAGGCCGGGGACUUCGCGGGUUGCAGGUGCAGCUAGCAGCGCUCCAAGGCGCCUGCCCCACCCGUGUGUACCUGGAAGAGCAGGCUCCCAGCACGCAGUCAGUUCAUUAAGUUGAAAAGUAGCUUCCAUCCGGCCACACAGCUCAGAUGGGCUCUGGAGAAAACCGUGCAGUGGAUCCAGAGAAAUCCGACAGGAGCCUGGAUCUGCGGGGAGGCCUUCCAGCUCCCGACUCUAGGUGUGGACGUGUGCGCCGGUGGCUAGGCCCCGUGACCUCGGUCCCUGAGCCCCGAGCCUGCAUGCUGGCCUUUCAAGAGUCUGGAGGACCACAGCAUGAAUCAAUCGGGCAGGGCUGGGCACUGCCUGGACUUCCGGUGGGUUUUCAGGCAGUGGCUUCAUCUCUAAUCCUGAACACAGGCUGUGGGUGCUCAGAAUUUACUGGGCUGCCUCCUCCAGAGAGCCUUCCCUGACCACCAGUGAUGCCCCCACCCCCUAGGCCUUCAUCAGCCCCAGCCGGGCCUACACUGUUGGUGUAUUUACAGCCAGGACCAGUCUGGUCCAGGAUUUCUGUCUCAGCUCAUGUGCUCAGUAGCCUUGAUUUUAAAAGUAGCCUUGGAUCACGUUA